rnacentral:rRNA from 1 species
GUUACACAAGACUUAAAUUGUCUCUUAAAUUUAAAUGAAGCUGAGAUUUUUGUAAAAACGCAAAAUUCUAUCUAAGGGACGAUAAGACCCUAUAAAUUUUAGUAGAAAAUUUAAUUGAAGAAAUACGCAUUUUAAUCUACUUAGUUGGGGCAACACAAAUGCUUAAAUUAUUUGAUUUUAACUCACUCUAAGUGUCUCCAAAAGCCAAUAAAUUGCAUUAGAAUAAAAUACUUUAGGGAUAACAGCGUUAUUACUUUGAAGAGUCCGCAUCAAUAAAGUAGUUUGCGA